AUUGAACGCUGGCGGCAUGCCUUACACAUGCAAGUCGAACGGUAACAGAUCUUCGGAUGCUGACGUGUGGCGAACGGGUGAGUAAUACAUCGGAACGUGCCUAGUAGUGGGGGAUAACUACUCGAAAGAGUGGCUAAUACCGCAUGAGAUCUACGGAUGAAAGCAGGGGAUUGCAAGACCUUGUGCUACUAGAGCGGCCGAUGGCAGAUUAGGUAGUUGGUGGGAUAAAAGCUUACCAAGCCGACGAUCUGUAGCUGGUCUGAGAGGACGAUCAGCCACACUGGGACUGAGACACGGCCCAGACUCCUACGGGAGGCAGCAGUGGGGAAUUUUGGACAAUGGGCGCAAGCCUGAUCCAGCAAUGCCGCGUGCAGGAUGAAGGCCUUCGGGUUGUAAACUGCUUUUGUACGGAACGAAACGGUCCUGGUUAAUACCUGGGGCUAAUGACGGUACCGUAAGAAUAAGCACCGGCUAACUACGUGCCAGCAGCCGCCGUAACAC
rnacentral:rRNA from 1 species